CCAAGGUUAGCCAAAGUUUGAUCCAUAUUACCUAGCCUUGGUAUUGUGUUUAUAUAGAUAUAUAAAAUUUAACAGCGCAGUAAUUCAUAAAACUGUUUAUAAAAUGGAGAUGCUGAUAAAAUCUGUAAUAAUAGUUGGUGCAGCGUGCAUAGCUGCGACGUUCGCUGUAAUGGAGUAUUGGGAGUGGAGAAACGUGCCGGAAGCAUACGCCACGCACGGACAAAGACGACGUAGAGAUUAACAAUGAAAUUAUACGAUAAUUUCUGCUACAGAGUUGUAUUUUAUGGAUCUAACCGUGAGUUUCUGAGACCAAAACCACUGUAUAAAACAUAUCAUCCAUGACAAAAUAAGGA